rnacentral:rRNA from 1 species
UACGUAGGGACCAAGCGUUGUUCGGAUUUACUGGGCGUAAAGGGCGCGUAGGCGGCAAUUCAAGUCAUCUGUGAAAUCUCCGGGCUUAACUCGGAACGGUCAGAUGAUACUGCUUUGCUAGAGUGCGGGAAGGGGCAAUCGGAAUUCUCGGUGUAGCGGUGAAAUGCGUAGAUAUCGAGAGGAACACCAGAGGUGAAGACGGGUUGCUGGGCCGACACGUGACGCUGAGGCGCGAAAGCCAGGGGAGCAAACGGG